rnacentral:lncRNA from 1 species
GCGAAACAGCUAUAUUGUUUCUUUCAGUUCUCUUUUCUCGGUAGUUUUAACUUUUGCCUUGAUUGGAACAUGGACUUUUGCUCCAGCACUAGUUACAUGACAGCAGAGGAAUGGAGCCAGCAACAGAAGAAAGAGGAAGCAGUGCAUGCUAGCUGUCUUCGUGUUCCACGCAGGCACACAUUCCCCUUCUCUUGAUUUCAAUUCGACUGUACAUUAUAUAUUGAAGUUUUUAAAUAUCUCUCUCUUUUUGGGGCCCCACGGAGUACUAAAAUGUCUGUAGAAGAACUUGAUGCUAAUGAAAGACGUGCUUUUUUGAGUGGCGCAGCAGCCUUGCAAGGUCAUGCUGUCUCAUAUGACAUCACAAAUUCAAUUGUUUUUGUAUAUUUUGGUGCCUGUUUAUAACUGUUUGCCGAAAUGCCGGUUUUCUUUUGGUACUUGAUGCACUGUGCUGCUAAAAAUUUUGAUUUUGAAAAUCUUGUUCCAUCUUUCCAUGAUUAAUGUGUAUAUACCACUUCUCAUUGUAUAAAUUUGCUGCAAGCUUGAGGGGAAUGAUAAGCUAAUUCUCACUCCAUUCGAGAAGAACCUAGAUAUAUGGAGACAGCUUUGGAGGUGGUUGAACGCAGUGAUUUGGUGAGUUUAUAAUAUCUCCAUGUCAAAGUUAGCAUUGAAUCCUUUGAAGAGUAUGAUUGUGUUAUUGUGACUAAUGAACAUAUCAUAAACUUUUAGUAUACUUGUUCUCUGUUUAGUCAAACCAAUUUUAGUUAACUAAACUGUACCCAAGUAAGUAUUUGGAACAUUGGUGAUUGGGAAGAUUCCAGUCAUUAAAAGCCUGGAAGCAAAAGAAAUUUGCCAUGUUUUGGAAUCCUAGAUUUAAUUGUUUGGCCAG